rnacentral:snoRNA from 1 species
GAUCCUGAUGAUCAUUUUUUUCGUACUUAGUACGGUUGGAAUUACCGGCUGAAACUCACUGUUGAAAAAAACUGGCUGUUUCUGAUU